UUAUAGAUUACAAUGGACGGUGACGAAAUAGUGCCUUGUGAACAGAUGGCUGAUACUGUCUGGAAGAUGAAAAACAUAGAAAGCAAGCCAACUAGCAACCACACUGCAGCAUCAUUUUGGGAAUUUCACCAGUGCACCAAAAUACCAAACGAUUACGUCAUCAUGCCGACUAUUAAUGAUAACCCCAUCCUGAGCCAACCUAACGAGUACCUUGGUCCAGGAAACGAAGUAUACUUUGACACUACUUCAAAAACAUCUGACUUUUCCUUUUGGUGCCUCAAGCGUCAAGUCGCAGCGUCUAAGAACUUAGCACUGGAAUUGCUUUUUAGGCCAUAUGUGGAUCAAUAUGUUGCACGAGAUAUGACAAAGGGCACUCUGAGUGUGGGAGAAUGCAAGACCCCUAUUAGUACUAAAGACCUUAUUUUAAAAAAUUUGGUUUCCUGGAAUAUUUCUGACUUG